rnacentral:rRNA from 1 species
CAGAGGGUGCGAGCGCUGUUCGGAAUUACUGGGCGUAAAGCGCGCGCAGGCGGCCCUUUAAGUCCGUUGGUCAAAUGCCGGGGCUCAACCCCGAGCGUGCCGAGGAUACUGGAGGGCUGGAGACACGUAGAGGCAAGCGGAAUUCCGGGUGUAGCGGUGGAAUGCGUAGAGAUCCGGAAGAACACCGGAGGCGAAGGCGGCUUGCUGGGCGUGAUCUGACGCUGAGGCGCGAAAGCGUGGGGAGCGAACAGGAUUAGAUACCCUGGUAGUCCACGCCGUAAACGAUGGGCACUAGACGCCGGCGGGAUCGACCCCGUCGGUGUCGCAGCUAACGCGAUAAGUGCCCCGCCUGGGGAGUACGGCCGCAAGGCUG